rnacentral:rRNA from 1 species
CCUACGGGUGGCAGCAGUCGGGAAUAUUGCGCAAUGGAGGAAACUCUGACGCAGUGACGCCGCGUGCAGGAAGAAGGUUUUCGGAUUGUAAACUGCUUUAGACAGGGAAGAAAAACGACAGUACCUGUAGAAUAAGCUCCGGCUAACUACGUGCCAGCAGCCGCGGUAAUACGCAGGGAGCAAGCGUUAUCCGGAUUUAGUGGGUGUAAAGGGUGCGUAGGAGGAGAAGAAAGUUAGUUGUGAAAUUCCUCGGCUUAACUGAGGAACUGCAACUAAAACUACUUGCCUUGAGUACUGGAGAGGAGAGUGGAAUUCGUAGUGUAGCGGUGAAAUGCGGAGAUAUUAGGAAGAACACCAGUGGCGAAGGCGACUUUCUGGACAGUAACUGACGUUGAGGCACGAAAGUGUGGGGAGCAAACAGGAUUAGAUACCCUGGUAGUC